rnacentral:rRNA from 1 species
CCUACGGGUCGCAGCAGUGGGGAAUAUUGGACAAUGGGCGAAAGCCUGAUCCAGCCAUGCCGCGUGUGUGAAGAAGGCCUUCGGGUUGUAAAGCACUUUCAGUGGGGAAGAAAGCCUUGGGGCUAAUACCCUCGAGGAAGGACAUCACCCACAGAAGAAGCACCGGCUAACUCCGUGCCAGCAGCCGCGGUAAUACGGAGGGUGCGAGCGUUAAUCGGAAUUACUGGGCGUAAAGCGCGCGUAGGCGGUCUGAUAAGCCGGUUGUGAAAGCCCCGGGCUCAACCUGGGAACGGCAUCCGGAACUGUCAGGCUAGAGUGCAGGAGAGGAAGGUAGAAUUCCCGGUGUAGCGGUGAAAUGCGUAGAGAUCGGGAGGAAUACCAGUGGCGAAGGCGGCCUUCUGGACUGACACUGACGCUGAGGUGCGAAAGCGUGGGUAGCAAACAGGAUUAGAUACCCCAUAGUC